rnacentral:rRNA from 1 species
GACGAACGCUGGCGGCGUGCCUAAUACAUGCAAGUAGAACGCUGGAGGAGGAGCUUGCUUCUCUGGAUGAGUUGCGAACGGGUGAGUAACGCGUAGGUAACCUGCCUGGUAGCGGGGGAUAACUAUUGGAAACGAUAGCUAAUACCGCAUAAUAUUGACUAUUGCAUGAUAGUCAGUUGAAAGGUGCAACUGCACCACUACCAGAUGGACCUGCGUUGUAUUAGCUAGUUGGUGGGGUAACGGCUCACCAAGGCGACGAUACAUAGCCGACCUGAGAGGGGGAUCGGCCACACUGGGACUGAGACACGGCCCAGACUCCUACGGGAGGCAGCAGUAGGGAAUCUUCGGCAAUGGACGGAAGUCUGACCGAGCAACGCCGCGUGAGUGAAGAAGGUUUUCGGAUCGUAAAGCUCUGUUGUAAGAGAAGAACGAGUGUGAGAGUGGAAAGCUCACACUGUGACGGUAUCUUACCAGAAAGGGACGGCUAACUACGUG